rnacentral:rRNA from 1 species
UUUAACAUGAGAGUUUGAUCCUGGCUCAGGAUGAACGCUGGCGGCGUGCUUAACACAUGCAAGUCGAACGAAGCAAUCUAGCGGAAGUUUUCGGAUGGAAG